GGGGAAUCUUGCGCAAUGGCCGAAAGGCUGACGCAGCGACGCCGCGUGUGGGAUGACGGCCUUCGGGUUGUAAACCACUGUCGGGAGGGACGAAGCUCUGACGGUACCUCCAAAGGAAGCACCGGCUAACUCUGUGCCAGCAGCCGCGGUAAUACAGAGGGUGCGAGCGUUGUCCGGAAUCACUGGGCGUAAAGGGCGCGUAGGCGGCCUGGUAAGUCGGGGGUGAAACGCUGCGGCUCAACCGCAGCACUGCCUUCGAGACUGUCAGGCUUGAGCACGGUAGAGGCUGGUGGAAUUCCCGGUGUAGCGGUGGAAUGCGUAGAGAUCGGGAAGAACAUCGGUGGCGAAGGCGGCCAGCUGGGCCGUUGCUGACGCUGAGGCGCGACAGCGUGGGGAGCAAA
rnacentral:rRNA from 1 species